UGCGAAGGGGGCUAGCGUUGCUCGGAAUCACUGGGCGUAAAGGGUGCGUAGGCGGGUCUUUAAGUCAGGGGUGAAAUCCCGGAGCUCAACUCCGGAACUGCCUUUGAUACUGGCGACCUUGAGGCUGGAAGAGGUUAGUGGAAUUCCCAGUGUAGAGGUGAAAUUCGUAGAUAUUGGGAAGAACACCAGUGGCGAAGGCGGCUAACUGGUCCAGAUCUGACGCUGAGGUGCGAAAGCGUGGGGAGCAAACAGG
rnacentral:rRNA from 1 species